rnacentral:rRNA from 1 species
UGGGGGAUAUUGCACAAUGGGGAAACCCUGAUGCAGCAACGCCGCGUGAAGGAAGAAGGUCUUCGGAUUGUAAACUUCUGUCCUCAGGGAAGAUAAUGACGGUACCUGAGGAGGAAGCUCCGGCUAACUACGUGCCAGCAGCCGCGGUAAUACGUAGGGAGCGAGCGUUGUCCGGAUUUACUGGGUGUAAAGGGUGCGUAGGCGGAUAGGCAAGUCAGUGGUGAAAUCUAUGGGCUUAACCCAUAAACUGCCAUUGAACUGUUAUCUUGAGUGGAGUAGAGGCAGGCGGAAUUCCCGGUGUAGCGGUGAAAUGCGUAGAGAUCGGGAGGAACACCAGUGGCGAAGGCGGCCUGCUGGGCUUUAACUGACGCUGAGGCACGAAAGUGUGGGUAGCAAACAGGAUUAGAUACCC